UGGUGGAUCGAUUUGUCUGGUUAAUUCCGAUAACGAACGAGACUGGCCUACUAAAUAGUUCGCCAAUCCUUCAUGCGUCAGCGCUAACUUCUUAGAGGGACAAGUAGCGCUUAGCCACACGAGAAUGAGCAACAACAGCC
rnacentral:rRNA from 1 species